AAUAAUUUUGAAAAAAUAAUAAUUCAGUAAAUUUGUAAAAGAUAACGUUCAGAAUAAAAUGACCUAUCGUAAAGUGAAAUCAAACGAAUCUAUUAGAUUUGUUACUACUUUGAAGCGCUUGAAAAUGAAACAUCGAUUUCCGAUUGUAAGCUUUCGUUUGUAAUUCCAGUAUUUUAUAUUUUCAUAUCGCGGAAUAAAUCUUCACAGCUGUAAAACAUUAAAGCUCGCAGACUGCAGUUACAUUCACGAAACGAAUUCUUCACGAUAAUGUUCAAAUAAAUACAUUGACGUCGAGUCAUAUACAUUAAUUGCUGUUUAAUAGCCGCACCUCAGGCUUGAUAGAAGUGUACGGUUAUUUUGUCCUUAUCUCUGAAUACUGCAGCACUUAUUUUUCUACACCAGGAGUGUGAGUAUGCAAUUAGCAUUUGUGAAAUAAGGCGCACUUUCAUUGUCUUGCAAUUGUUGUGCCGUGGCAUUUUCGAAGUAGAAACGAUGCAGUAACUCGCAAUGGAUUAAAUCUACUGGCAAGAAAACUGCAUGUGUAGUCAACUGCAGAUUAUAAAGAAAUUAGGCGUUUACGUCGUUCGAUGAACGUAAGGAGAACUCCCGGAACAUGACUUUAUCGUCCUCUGCAAGCAGUAAAAUCACAGCGGAAAUCGUUACAUCGAAUAUUCCUACAGCGCAAAAACAUUGGAGAGUUAGGAAUUCAAAUUGACUGUUACAUUUCGCACAGAAACCUGCACCUUGUUACGAUACCCGGUGUAAUCGGAACGGCAACUUGCAGAGAUAUUGUGCUUAUUAUUAUUUAUAAACAUUCUCCGCCAACGUUGCGAACUUGGUGCGUUGCCUACAGGAGAAACAUUAUUAUACUGGCAAUAAACGUGCCUCAAAGGCUUAUACGAUAAACGAGCGAGCUAAUAUGCGAGUAUAACCGACUGGUUGAAAAAUUUACGGAAUCAUGGUAACGUUCUCUUGCUCUUUGUAAAAAUUCUACGAGUCCAGAAAUAAUCCUACGACAAGACAAUCUUCGUGUCCGAAAACGAUUGCAACAAAAUUAUUGAAGUGAGGACUUCUUUAGCGCCGUUGAUGAAAACUUCUUCAGCACGGGAGUGAUUUGAAACUCGAUGAAACGACUAUCGGUGUAACGAAAACUUAACUCCUUCAGCACGGUAGUGAUUUGAAACGAAAUGAAACGAAAUGAAACGACUAUUGAUAUAACGUAUAAUUAUUCCACUCCUGAUGCUGCAUUCUCCUCAUUCUCUCGCAGUUUAGUUUCUGAAGGAUUCACUUAUACCACGUGUGAACUGCACACAUGUUUUUUUUUUUAAAUAAACAGUGUACGUGUGGAAAGAAUUCUUUCGCCAAAUAUACCCAUAUAUUUAUGCGAAAAAUUUCUUGUACAUUUUGCGGCGUGUAUUAAUUUGGUUAUUACGUAACUAAUGCAUGACGAUAUUUGUUUGAUCAUUACAUAAUAAAGUUACCAAUCUUCCUACAUUUAUUAUAUCUGUAAUGAUAUGACAUUAACAGUGAUAAGAUUUUUUCUAUCAAUUGAGGUAUGUAUUGGAGUUGCUGUAGCCACAGUUGUUUUCAAUUUUUACGUCCUCGUCACAGCUCACUCAUAGCUAUAUAACGAUCAUAAACCUUCAUUCCAUGAGCCAUUAUUAUUUCUCCAUCUGUUGUCAUCCGCAGAUUAUAUCAGCUGGGGAAAAAUAUUAUGUAUGUUUUGAACGUACCGGCUGUAACUCCUCUUAACAACACGUGGCACGAGUGAAAAAAAGAUUCAUCAAUCGUCGGGUACCAAGGAUAUGAUUUGACUAGUUGCAUCUGUGCGUUUUUCUUCCUUAUUUCCUUUUAUCUCUGUAACGAUCUUUUGGUUGAUGUAACAAUCUUAUUACAUAAUAUAGUCGACUUGAAUUUUACAACGGAAGGUAUAAAUUUUAUAAUCUAUUUUCUAUACUGUGUAGCAAAUAUCGAAAUUGCGUGAUAAAUAUUCAGCGAACAAACGAAUCGCCGCUAUAGAACAACAAUGAACGUCAGUCAAAUUGGCAAAUGAGUUGUAGCUGGGGUUCUACAUUUUAUCUAACUCAUUAGACCGCAGCUGAAGGCCGGUCUCGGAAUGAAACUUCGCGACGUAUUGCAUAUUGUUACAACUUACAAGAUAUUGGUAUUCUCAUUUUACAAUUGUUCAGUGUACCGCGUGUACAAUAACAGAUGCAUCGAUAACUAAAGGUUAUUGUCGAUUUCUCUUAUAGAAAAUUGUACCCAUUUCAAAUC